UCCAAAUCCAACCACAAUUCAAGACUAACUAUAAAUUUGACGAUCAGGCUCACAGUUACGUGUCGCUCAGUCACAUGCAGUCCGGACCCGGCCCGACCCGACCCGACCCGAAAUUGUAGUAAGUACUACAAAGAACGGAACUUUGCAAAAUAGAUAAAUAAUAAUAAAUCAAGAGGAAGGAGACGAGAGAUCUGCGUCGUGACAGUUAAUCAUCAAUGGCGAAACUCGAACUCAACGAAGAAGAGGAACCGAAAUCGAAGAAGAAGGCUGCUGUGAAAAGGAAUCACGGAUCCACAACGUUUUUCGUUCUCGUCGACUACCUUUUCCUUGGCAUUUUCAUCUGUUUCCUCGCCUACAUUCUCAUGAAAUUGUUUGGUUUUUGAUUCAAUAGGAGUAGUUAAAUAUAUGGAGCAUUCCAUCUCAAUGCAUACUCCCACGAAAAGGAUACUGGAUGGAUAGGCAGGCAUACAUGCUAAAUCCUUUAUACUAAUAUAGUAAUAUCACGUUGCUCAAAAUGAAUUCACAGUGCUUAUAUUUUUCUUAGCAUGAAUCAGUAGACUAAUCUUUGAACCAUAUUCACAUGUGCUAAUUCUAUAACACAGUUUUGUAUUGAUUUUGUGUUGUGGCCACACAGUCCAUUUUGCUAGUUGGGUGAAGGUUAUCCUUUUGUUUUUAA